AGUGAACGCUGGCGGCAGGCCUAACACAUGCAAGUCGAACGGCAGCACAGUAAGAGCUUGCUCUUACGGGUGGCGAGUGGCGGACGGGUGAGGAAUACAUCGGAAUCUACUUUUUCGGGGGGGAUAACGUAGGGAAACUUACGCUAAUACCGCAUAUGACCUACGGGUGAAAGCAGGGGAUCUUCGGACCUUGCGCGAUUGAAUGAGCCGAUGUCGGAUUAGCUAGUUGGCGGGGUAAAGGCCCACCAAGGCGACGAUCCGUAGCCGGUCUGAGAGGAUGAUCAGCCACACUGGAACUGAGACACGGUCCAGACUCCUACGGGAGGCAGCAGUGGGGAAUAUUGGGCAAUGGGCGCAAGCCUGAUCCAGCCAUACCGCGUGGGUGAAGAAGGCCUUCGGGUUGUAAAGCCCUUUUGUUGGGAAAGAAAAGCAGCAGGUUAAUACCCCGCUGUUCUGACGGUACCCAAAGAAUAAGCACCGGCUAACUUCGUG
rnacentral:rRNA from 1 species